CACGUAGGCGGCUUUUUAAGUCAGGGGUGAAAUCCUGGAGCUCAACUCCAGAACUGCCCUUGAUACUGAGAGGCUUGAGUCCGGGAGAGGUGAGUGGAACUGCGAGUGUAGAGGUGAAAUUCGUAGAUAUUCGCAAGAACACCAGUGGCGAAGGCGGCUCACUGGCCCGGUACUGACGCUGAGGUGCGAAAGCGUGGGGAGCAAACA
rnacentral:rRNA from 1 species